rnacentral:rRNA from 1 species
AUUGAACGCUGGCGGCAGGCCUAACACAUGCAAGUCGAGCGGAUGAAGGGAGCUUGCUCCUGGAUUCAGCGGCGGACGGGUGAGUAAUGCCUAGGAAUCUGCCUGGUAGUGGGGGAUAACGUCCGGAAACGGGCGCUAAUACCGCAUACGUCCUGAGGGAGAAAGUGGGGGAUCUUCGGACCUCACGCUAUCAGAUGAGCCUAGGUCGGAUUAGCUAGUUGGUGGGGUAAAGGCCUACCAAGGCGACGAUCCGUAACUGGUCUGAGAGGAUGAUCAGUCACACUGGAACUGAGACACGGUCCAGACUCCUACGGGAGGCAGCAGUGGGGAGUAUUGGACAAUGGGCGAAAGCCUGAUCCAGCCAUGCCGCGUGUGUGAAGAAGGUCUUCGGAUUGUAAAGCACUUUAAGUUGGGAGGAAGGGCAGUAAGUUAAUACAUUGCUGUUUUGACGUUACCAACAGAAUAAGCACCGGCUAACUUCGUG